GGGGACGUAGCUCAAUCGGUAGAGCACUUGCUUAGCAGGCGAGAGGUACCGGGAUCGAAACUCGGCGUCUCCA
rfam:Papilio xuthus contig17416, whole genome shotgun sequence.